AACAAAGCAACAGAAUAUUUUCCCCUCUUAAACCUAGUGACCCCCAACACCAUGGGGCAAACCUCCUGCUGAAAUCAAAAAAUCUUUCUCUAUUGGGCUGUUAAAGCUGCUCUCACCUGUCAAAUAUCAUGUCCUUUUAGUCUCUACCUUUCUCUUGAAAUAAUAAUACAACAUAUGGGUUAUCAGUACCAGAACCCAAGACUUUAAAGAAAUAGUUGCAUAUUUCCUAUGGCUCUCUGUAGAUGUAUGGUUGGAUUCUCAGCUGAUGGGAUGGCAGCUGAUUCAUGGCAGCUGAAAACGCAGCCUUUUGUGUUUUGUCUUGUCUUCUCAUCUCACUGAACUUUCCAAGGAUCUAAAUUAAUGCAAAGGAAAUACAACCUUGCCUCAGUGAAUUGUUUUGAAGGCUAAUGUGCUGAGAGAUUUAUGGGCAAAGAGGUUUUUUUUUCCCUUCUUUCUUUAAUAAAAAGUGCUUUCAUUCAGCAGCUUUGAUGGAAAGCCUGCAAGGACCCAUGAUAAGUAUGUAACCGGAACAGACUCAUAUUAACUAUCACUGUUACAAAUCUAUUAGUCCCACAUAUUAGAGCAUGUGCUGGACCUGAUGAGCUACACUAGUGGGAACAGGAGUAAUUUUGUGAAAUACAUGUAGCUUGCAAAUCUUUUAGACUGUUAUCCAAUUCCUUUUGUUUCAGUUUAAUUAGGAUAUAAAACAUGGCCUUAAGAGCUCGCACGAGUGGAGGGAACUCCAUGUGAAGGACAGGGAACCAGCUGCAGGGGAUUCCCAGCUGCUCUGCUGCUGAGCCUGCUGGCUUUUGUCUGCAAGGUGGUUUUGCUGUUCACCAAGGACUGAUGGAGGCAACGUUUCUUGAAGCACUGCAGGAGGACAGAGCUGCUCUUGCUCGUGGAUGAUGUGCACAAGGGGAAAGAACUAAGAGUGCACAGUCCCAUGCCAGAGGGUGUCAACCCAAAGCACUCAGUGAGGAGCAAGCAAGAGCAGUGACCACAUCCCGGCUCUGCUUUGCUCAUGAAGGUGUGGAACUGAGGCACAAAGAAGCAAGGAUAGGAUUUAACAUUUAGGCUCAGAGCAUAUCACCUGUGAAAUGUCAGCCCCUUGCCUAGAGGGCCCUUGGACACAUCAGCACUGCAG